rnacentral:lncRNA from 1 species
GACGAAUGCGAUGUGACCGACUCUGACCACCAUUUGCUCUGGGCUAUUUCUAGUUGUUUCGGCCGUUUGGCCAAUGCAAUUCUGCACCCUCUCUCUCUCAAAAAAAAAAAAAAUCAAUUCUACACUUACACACAGGAGGAAAUGCACGUUCCUAGCUCAGCAUUGCCGAGAAGUAGAUAAAUCUUUCAGCGGACGGUAACUGACAGAC